rnacentral:siRNA from 1 species
GUCUGCCUGGGUGUCACAA